rnacentral:lncRNA from 1 species
GCAUUCCUAUUGGAUACCCGCCUUGCAAGACGCAGCGCGAAGGCUCUCUCUCUCUCCCCCCCACUCUUCCCGCCCGCUUCCCCCUCCGCCGCCGUCGCUCUCGGGGAAAAUGGCUGAAAGGGGAAGCGGUGGCGCGGGGUGGGGAGCGGGAGUCCGCGACGGCCAAGGCGCAGGCGCGCACAAGGGCGGCGGAGGGGCGAGUGGGGGGGAAACCACCCGGUCCCAGAGCAGCGGCUGCCCCGUCAUUGUCCGGGCUCCCUGAGGGUGGGGAAGGGGCGCCCUGGGCUCAGGGGCCACCGCGGAACAACCGAGCGGACUGGGGAGGAAAGGGGCCUCCGAAGGCGGCUUUCCCUAGGAAGAACCCUGCCCAAGCACUUGGGUUGCAACCCGAAUCACCCGGGGACUCAUUGUGCAGCAACCGAGAUUGACUCCGUCUCAUCUGUGUGGACCAGCGGGAUCCAUACUUCCCCAUCCUCCUCCCACCUCAACAAGCAAGUGCUUUCCCGAAAUGAGACAGAAACUAUCUGGUCCUGCGGCAGAAGGGGUUUGAGGCUGGUUUGUGUUGGGGCCCUUAACACCAACAUCAGCACCACCACUGCCACUCCUCUGCUCCCUAUAGAUAGUCACAAGAAAUUCAGCAGGAAUUCGGAGUUUGGAGAGUCAUGACGAUGUUCCAGAAGAAGAUGACAGGACUGUAUUUGAAUAAAUGUAGAUUGUUGUACA